AUCCAGCUGACAAGUCCCAAAUAGGACGAAAUGGCUGUCCUCCAU
rnacentral:hammerhead_ribozyme from 1 species